UCGAUCUGUUCGAUCAUGUACAAUAUAUGAUCUAAUGCACCUUCCCUCAUUCGAGCAAUGAAUAUGAUGCAACUAGUCUUGUGCCGCUUAAUAUUGUCGGGAGUACCAAAAGACUCUCUCAACACCUUGAGCAUGUCCUCUGACUGAGCCUCCUUGAAUUUUUGGCGGAACUCAUCAUUCAUGGAGGCCCGCAUUAUGCAACAAACCAUGGUGC
rnacentral:lncRNA from 1 species